rnacentral:rRNA from 1 species
AUUGGACAAUGGGGGCAACCCUGAUCCAGCCAUGCCGCGUGUGUGAAGAAGGUCUUCGNAUUGUANANCACUUUAAGUUGGGAGGNCAGGCUUUAGGUUAAUACGCUGAAGUUUUUACGUUACCAACAGAAUAAGCAACGGCCAACUCUGUACCAGCAGCCGCGGUAAUACAGAGGGUGCAAGUGUUAAUCGGAAUUACUGGGCGUAAAGCGCGCGUAGGUGGUUCAGUAAGAUGGGUGUGAAAUCCCCGGGCUUAACCUGGGAACUGCUUUCAUAACUGCUGAGCUAGAGUACGGUAGAGGGUAGUGGAAUUUCCUGUGUAGCGGUGAAAUGCGUAGAUAUAGGAAGGAACACCAGUGGCGAAGGCGACUACCUGGACUGAUACUGACACUGAGGUGCGAAAGCGUGGGGAGCAAACA